UUUUUAAUUGACAUAGACCAAGUCCU
rnacentral:tRNA from 1 species